rnacentral:rRNA from 1 species
UACGGGGGGGGCAAGCGUUGUUCGGAAUUACUGGGCGUAAAGGGCUCGUAGGCGGCCAACUAAGUCGGAUGUGAAAUCCCCAGGCUCAACUUGGGAACUGCAUCCGAUACUGGAUGGCUUGAAUUCGGGAGAGGGAUGCAGAAUUCCAGGUGUAGCGGUGAAAUGCGUAGAUAUCGUAAGGAAGACCAGUGGCGAAGGCGAGUCUCUGGACAGUUACUGACACUGAGGCACGAAGGCCAGGGGAGCAAACGGG